rnacentral:lncRNA from 1 species
AAAAUGAAAAUAAAAGUCCUUGUGUGGAUGAAAAUAAAAAUGUAUUUUCUGUAUCAAAUCUAAAAAAACAUGGUUCUGAAGAAAGUGUGUUUUCAUCAGUUUCUACCUCUUGUGCUGCUGAAAGUUCAUUUUUUGCUGAAAGUUCACCUGAUAAAGAGAAAAAUGAACACAGUGUUUUAAAUCUAAAAAGGCAUGAUUCUGUUGAGAGUAUACAUUCAUCAGUUUCAGGAGCAAGCACAGUUACAGGUGCUGUGGAGAAUUCUGUUUCUAAUAUACAAGACAAAG